GGUAGAACCAGUUGGGUUUGUGGCAGUAUUAAAGAUACAGGAAGUUAGGUAGAACCAGUUGGGUUUGUGGCAGUAUUAAAGAUACAGGAAGUUAGGUAGAACCAGUUGGGUUUGUGGCAGUAUUAAAGAUACAGGAAGUUAGGUAGAACCAGUUGGGUUUGUGGCAGUAUUAAAGAUACAGGAAGUUAGGUAGAACCAGUUGGGUUUGUGGCAGUAUUAAAGAUACAGGAAGUUAGGUAGAACCAGUUGGGUUUGUGGCAGUAUUAAAGAUACAGGAAGUUAGGUAGAACCAGUUGGGUUUGUGGCAGUAUUAAAGAUACAGGAAGUUAGGUAGAACCAGUUGGGUUUGUGGCAGUAUUAAAGAUACAGGAAGUUAGGUAGAACCAGUUGGGUUUGUGGCAGUAUUAAAGAUACAUGAAGUUAGGUAGAACCAGUUGGGUUUGUGGCAGUAUUAAAGAUACAGGAAGUUAGGUAGAACCAGUUGGGUUUGUGGCAGUAUUAAA